rnacentral:rRNA from 1 species
AGUGAACGCUGGCGGUAGGCCUAACACAUGCAAGUCGAACGGCAGCACAGUAAGAGCUUGCUCUUACGGGUGGCGAGUGGCGGACGGGUGAGGAAUACAUCGGAAUCUACUUUUUCGUGGGGGAUAACGUAGGGAAACUUACGCUAAUACCGCAUACGACCUACGGGUGAAAGCAGGGGAUCUUCGGACCUUGCGCGAUUGAAUGAGCCGAUGUCGGAUUAGCGAGUUGGCGGGGUAAAGGCCCACCAAGGCGACGAUCCGUAGCUGGUCUGAGAGGAUGAUCAGCCACACUGGAACUGAGACACGGUCCAGACUCUUACGGGAGGCAGCAGUGGGGAAUAUUGGACAAUGGGCGGAAGCCUGAUCCAGCCAUACCGCGUGGGUGAAGAAGGCCUUCGGGUUGUAAAGCCCUUUUGUUGGGAAAGAAAAGCAGCAGGUUAAUACCCCGCUGUUCUGACGGUACCCAAAGAAUAAGCACCGGCUAACUUCGUG